UUUGACCUCAAAUCAGGUAGGACUACCCGCUGAACUUAAGCAUAUCACUAAGCGGAGGAGUCAUA
rnacentral:rRNA from 1 species